rfam:Macaca mulatta chromosome 7, whole genome shotgun sequence.
CAGCUUCCCUGCCCUGCCUGUUUUCUUCUUUGUGGUUUUAUGAAAGCGAAGGAGGAAACAGGCAGGCCAGGGAAGCGCUC